ACUAAAACUAGUAUGUAUCACUAAAACUAGUAUGUAUCACUCCUUGACACUCAUUUAUUACUCUUUGGUGUCUCUAGGGAUAGAAAACACAACGCAGGAUAUGAAGCCCAAAUUUUGUGGUGGAUAAUCACUCGUACUCCUAGCUAAUAUAGGCUUCUAGCCCCGUGUAGAGUGGGUGAUCUUGAUCACAAGAUUUUCUCAAACCUCACCUUUGAAAAUGUGGUUUUGACUUAUCUAAGGUUUUCAUCGCCAAAGCAGUUUGGGCAAGCAGAUGGGAAGAUAAAAGAUGUAACAACCAGAGUUUAAUGGCUUAGGACAUAAAUCACAGUUUAUGUCUAUCCCACGUUUCUAUUACCUUGAGGACCAAGAUCAAUGUUUUAUUGCACAAUUUUGUUAUAUACGUUUUGCACUAGGAGGUUGAAUCUGCCAACUCUUGCGCAUAUACAAAAUUUCAAUGGCUAAAAUGAUCUGAUGAACUGAAAAACGAAGAUUACUAUGUGUAUGGAGCUUUCAGUACCAUUUGUAUCUGCUGAUUAAAUUGACUUUUGUUGAAGGCUUGGAUAUCUUACGUCUUCAUCUUCUCUGGCACAAGAUAUGUUUUGUCACAUAUUUAUAAACAUUAGGGACUCAUUGAAGUGCAUGUUUCUCUAUGUAUUAUAUUAAUUCAUGCUGCAAACAACCUAUAUCCACAGCCAA